AACGAACGCUGGCGGCAGGCCUAACACAUGCAAGUCGAGCGAGCAUUUCGGUGCUAGCGGCGGACGGGUUAGUAACGCGUGGGAACGUGCCCUUUGCUACGGAAUAGUCCUGGGAAACUGGGGGUAAUACCGUAUGUGCCCUUCGGGGGAAAGAUUUAUCGGCAAAGGAUCGGCCCGCGUUGGAUUAGGUAGUUGGUGGGGUAAUGGCCUACCAAGCCGACGAUCCAUAGCUGGUUUGAGAGGAUGAUCAGCAACACUGGGACUGAGACACGGCCCAGACUCCUACGGGAGGCAGCAGUGGGGAAUCUUAGACAAUGGGCGCAAGCCUGAUCUAGCCAUGCCGCGUGGACGAUGAAGGCCUUAGGGUUGUAAAGUCCUUUCAGCUGGGAAGAUAAUGACGGUACCAGCAGAAGAAGCCCCGGCUAACUCCGUG
rnacentral:rRNA from 2 species